rnacentral:rRNA from 1 species
CGUGCUACAAUGGCAUAUACAAAGAGAAGCGACCUCGCGAGAGCAAGCGGAACUCAUAAAGUCUGUCGUAGUCGGGAUUGGAGUCUGCAACUCGACUCCAUGAAGUCGGAAUCGCUAGUAAUCGUAGAUCAGAAUGCUACGGUGAAUACGUUCCCGGGCCUUGUACACACCGCCCGUCACACCAUGGGAGUGGGUUGCAAAAGAA